CUUGAUGAACGAAACCCUACCUCUCCCACAUACACCGCCGCCGCCGCCGCCGCUCCCCGCCCCCCAUGAGGAGAGAACCUCGAUCGCAGCCGUCCCCGUUGGAUUCACCUCGUGAGCCAGGUCCCCUUCUAUCCUCCAGCUCCAUAUCGCUGCACGCUCACCGUCACUCCCAUCGUUGCCCGCGGUGGCGGAUCCACCGUGCCCAUGCCGAGAUGGACGGCCUCGGCGGUGGCGGCGCGCGUCCUGGGGCACAUCUAUCUUCUCCAGACGGCACCAGAUCCCGCAUCGCCCCGGCUCCCUGAACUGGUGACUUCACCGAGUCCGCGCGGCCCGAGUCAUACGGCAUCAGAUCGAGGUGUGUAGCCCGAGCCAACACUGGAGCAUGAUCUGGACGGGUCGGAGGUGGAUCACAGCAUCGAUCUGUCGCCUCUGAAUUCGCUUACGGCGGGCGGCUACAAAGCCACGACGAAAUCGCUUAUGCAUUCUCCUCUCAGAUCCCAUCGAACCUCUUUCCCUCGAUUUCUCUCUCGUGGAUCCCAGCAGACGACGACGUCGACGGUACGUCACCUCCGUAGAGGAGGACCUGCCGAUUGCCUUUCGAGUCUUCGGCUGGACCUUCCUCACCGACGCCGGUGUAGGCACCGACCGGACUUCACCGACAAGUACAACUCUACGCGGACAAGAAGAACCCCAAGGAGAAUCUCUGGGAUGUGAUAUAGCGCCCGGUGGAGGUUGUCAUGGCGGACCAGAGGCUGGCCAGUAGCGGCGUGCUUGACGAGGAGUGUUGGUGCAUCAGGGUCGUCUCCAAGGGCAGAGGCAAGGCCUCCAACCGGGCGAUUUUGUUUUGCCAAGUUGACAAAGCAAAGGAAGAUAUGCUGAACCAGCUAUACAGCUCAAUAAGGAUAGCUUCGCUGCCUUCCUCAAAGUUGUGUACAGAACCAAGUUGAGUACUCCUGACCAGGUCCAGAUGCGCUUCUAGAACUGUCCAGUUAACCUUGCAAUGACGGUGGACAAUAAAUGGCUGAGAAGAGUCCUUGUUAUUUCUGCAAGCAAUGCAUUUUUUGGUUGCUGGUUCUUAUGAAAUAUUGUUUUGUAUAGUGAAAUGAAGUAUCGUUUGAGUGUACAUGCUGUUUUGACUACAAAAUUGUAGAGUAAUCAAAUCCAUUGAUGGAUUGAAUGUCAGUAUGUUUCGAUUUGCUU